GUCUUAUGAUCUUCACACAGUCUCAGCUUUUUGGCAUUUACUAAUAUCUGAUGAACGGAUUUCAAAAUGUACAAGGCAUCAUAUCAAAGAUUGCAUAUGCCCGAAAGAAGGACAAAUCCAAUUUGGCUCUCUGGAUGUAUGGAAAGCUCUCAACCUUCCAGAAAAGGACUGUUCAAAGGAACACUUAAAUCCCUCCGACAGACAAAGAUAACCUCUCUAGGCCCUCUGGUGGUGACGUAUAAGUGCUUUCUCAGUACUUUCUCUCGCUUUUGGACAAAUCCAAGUGCUGUAUCUGUACCCGAAUAGAAAUAAAGGAUUUUAAUGACACAGUUUUCUUCCGCUCUGAAAGUGAACGAAUUACAAAACAGUCUAGAGAAUUCCUCGCCCUGCUGCAGAAGAUCAAUCCUGGGUUGUGCUCACCAAAGCAAACCUC